GAUGAACGCUGGCGGCGUGCUUAACACAUGCAAGUCGAACGGAAAGGCCCAAGCUUGCUUGGGUACUCGAGUGGCGAGCGGGUGAGUAACACGUGGGUGAUCUGCCCUGCACUUCGGGAUAAGCCUGGGAAACUGGGUCUAAUACCGGAUAGGACCACUUCUUGGAUGUUGUGGUGGAAAGUUUUUUCGGUGUGGGAUGAGCUCGCGGCCUAUCAGCUUGUUGGUGGGGUAAUGGCCUACCAAGGCGUCGACGGGUAGCCGGCCUGAGAGGGUGUACGGCCACAUUGGGACUGAGAUACGGCCCAGACUCCUACGGGAGGACGCAGUGGGGACUCUUGCACAAUGGGCGCAAGCCUGAUGCAGCGACGCCGCGUGGGGGAUGACGGCCUUCGGGUUGUAAACUCCUUUCGCUAGGGACGAAGCGUUUUGUGACGGUACCUGGAGAAGAAGCACCGGCUAACUACGUG
rnacentral:rRNA from 1 species